rnacentral:rRNA from 1 species
CGAACGGGUGAGUAAUGCGUGACCAACCUGCCCCAUGCUCCAGAAUAGCUCUUGGAAACGGGUGGUAAUGCUGGAUGCUCCAACUUGACGCAUGUCUUGUUGGGAAAGUGUUUAGUGGCAUGGGAUGGGGUCGCGUCCUAUCAGCUUGUAGGCGGGGUAAUGGCCCACCUAGGCUUCGACGGGUAGCCGGCCUGAGAGGGCGGACGGCCACAUUGGGACUGAGAUACGGCCCAGACUCCUACGGGAGGCAGCAGGGG